rnacentral:rRNA from 1 species
UUCAGGGGUAACCUGAGAAACCCGAAAGGUCGGCGGGGAAAUUCAAUCGCGUUUCGUUGCCUAACCCUUGGUGGUUGUGUGACGUGCGGCUCACGGGCCGUGUGCACCGAUCGCUUUGGCAGAUUGGGCGCGAACGCGUGCACUUUUCCUCUUGUCGGACGUCGCGAUCCGUUGGGUGUCGGUCUAAGGCUUUGCGGUGGUGACCCAUUUGAUAAAUUUAUUUUUGUCAUAUGGAACCCGUAUUGUCCCGACCGGCUCGCUCGACGGUAUCGAAUGAUGGUGCAGGGCCGCGACUUAAUUCGCGUUCGGCUCAAAGCAAGCCCGAAUGAUGUGUUGGUGUGUCGGAUUUAAUGCCGAUCCCGAUCUCAUUCGACUGUGGCUUUGAUGUUCUCGAACAGACUCUGUGUAACGCCAAUCAGCGACGCUAUUGCUUUGGGUACUUUCAGGACCCGUCUUGAAACACGGACCAAGGAGUCUAGCAUGUGCGCAAGUCAAUGGGAUAAAACUAAACCUAAAGGCGCAAUGAAAGUAAAGGUCAGCCUUGUGCUGGCCAAGGGAAGAUGGGUGGUCAUCCUAAUUUAGGUGUCACUCCGCACUCCCGGGGCGUCUCAUUCUCAUUGCGAGAAGAGGCGCACCAAGAGCGUACACGCUGGGACCCGAAAGAUGGUGAACUAUGCCUGGUCAGGACGAAGUCAGGGGAAACC